UUUCUUUGGAAAGAUAUAGAAGUGUCGGGGAAAUAAUAAUAUUUUGAUAUUUAGUAUCAAGUAAUUUUCUUUCCACUAAGUUCUUCGAGGAUAAGCUCGAAGAAAAGUUAAGAUAUUUAUAAGCUUAAUUUAUUGUGUGGGCUUAAGAUUGGCCACCACAAGAGUUUGUUAUAAAAUAAUUAUAGAAGAGCAUAAAAUCUAUUUAAUCUUAUCUAACUUCUUACAAAGAUAAAAGCUUUAAUCCUCAAAAGAUUUAUACCUAUGCUAGAAUGAGUAUUAUAGUCAAUUUAAGAAAAAAAGUUAUCUAUUAUUUUUUAUAAAAAGUAUAUCUUAAAAUCUAAAUAGUAAGAAGGAACUCGGCAAAUUAAGUUGCCCUGCCUGUUUAUCAAAAACAUGGCUCUUUGAACAAUUGAGUAUAAAGAGUCGAGCCUGCCCAGUGAAUUUUCAACGGCCGCGGUACUCUGACCGUGCAAAGGUAGCAUAAUCAUUUGCCUUAUAAUUGAAGGCUAGUAUGAAUGGUUUGACGAGAGCAACACUGUCUCCUUACUACUUUCUAGAACUUAACUUUUAGGUGAAGAGGCCUAAAUUUUAUUGAAGGACAAGAAGACCCCGUCGAGCUUAAAAGACACUGUAGAAGUUAAUAUAUCUAUAAAUAAAUAUUCUAUUAAGCUUUUUAGUUGGGGCGACUAAGGAACAAUUAAAGCUUCUUAUUAAUGUUAUACAAUCAUGUAUAGAUCCGACAUUGUCGAUCAAAGAAAUUAGUUACCGCGGGGAUAACAGCAUAAUCUCUCUUAAGAGAUCUAAUCGAAAGAGGGGGUUGUGACCUCGAUGUUGGACUAGAAUAUCCUAAAGAUGCAGAAG
rnacentral:rRNA from 1 species